rnacentral:rRNA from 1 species
CUACGGGGGGCUCCAGUGAGGAAUAUUGCACAAUGGAGGAAACUCUGAUGCAGCAACGCCGCGUGGAGGAUGACACUUUUCGGAGCGUAAACUCCUUUUAUAUAGGAAGAAGAUGACGGUACUAUAUGAAUAAGCGCCGGCUAACUCCGUGCCAGCAGCCGCGGUAAUACGGAGGGCGCAAGCGUUACUCGGAAUCACUGGGCGUAAAGAGCGUGUAGGCGGAUUAAAAAGUCAGAAGUGAAAUCCUAUAGCUUAACUAUAGAACUGCUUCUGAAACUCUUAAUCUAGAAUAUGGGAGAGGUAGAUGGAAUUUCUGGUGUAGGGGUAAAAUCCGUAGAGAUCAGGAGGAAUACCGAUUGCGAAGGCGAUCUACUAGAACAUUAUUGACGCUGAGACGCAAAAGCGUGGGGAGCAAACAGGAUUAGAUACCCGAGUAGUC